rnacentral:rRNA from 1 species
AGAGUUUGAUCAUGGCUCAGGACGAACGCUGGCGGCGUGCUUCAAACAUGCAAGUCGAACGGAGUUUGAGGGAGCUUGCUCCCGAGAACUUAGUGGCGGACGGGUGAGUAACGCGUGAGCAAUCUGGCUAUCACAGGGGGAUAACAGUUGGAAACGACUGCUAAUACCGCAUAUGACCACAGACCGCGG